UACGUAGGGACCAAGCGUUGUUCGGAUUUACUGGGCGUAAAGGGCGCGUAGGCGGACCUGCAAGUCGGGGGUGAAAGCCCGAGGCUCAACCUCGGAACUGCCUUCGAUACUGCGGGUCUCGAGUCCGGGAGAGGUGAGUGGAAUUCCUAGUGUAGAGGUGAAAUUCGUAGAUAUUAGGAAGAACACCAGUGGCGAAGGCGGCUCACUGGCCCGGUACUGACGCUGAGGCGCGAAAGCCAGGGGAGCAAACGGG
rnacentral:rRNA from 1 species